rnacentral:tRNA from 1 species
GUCCGUGUGGCGGAAUGGGCAGACGUAACCGGCUUAAACCCGGAUUUUUGAGAGUUCGAGUCUCUCCACGGAUACCA